rnacentral:rRNA from 1 species
CCUACGGGGGGCUGCAGUCGCGAAUUUUUCACAAUGGGCGCAAGCCUGAUGAAGCCACGCCGUGUGCGGGAUGAAGGCUCUCUGAGUUGUAAACCGCUGUCAAGUGGAGGGAAACGCGUGGUGUUAACAGCAUCACGUUUGACUGUCCGCUAAAGGAAGCCCCGGCAAAACAUGUGCCAGCAGCCGCGGUAAUACAUGUGGGGCAAGCGUUGUUCGGAAUUACUGGGCAUAAAGGGUGCGUAGGCGGUCUGGUAAGUCGAGGGUGAAAUCCGGUGGCCCAACCAUCGAACUGCCCUUGAUACUGCUGGACUUGAGUGCGUGAGGGGUGACUGGAACGAGUGGUGUAGCGGUGAAAUGCGUAGAUAUCACUCGGAACGCCAACGGCGAAGGCAGGUCACUGGUACGCAACUGACGCUGAGGCACGAAAGCGUGGGGAGCAAACAGGAUUAGAUACCCGUGUAGUC